rnacentral:pre_miRNA from 1 species
UUAGCUCAUAUUUGUAUGGGAUGGGAUCGUUUGCGUACGUUUGCCGCUAGGGGCGCUGUUCCAACUGCAUACAAAAUUGGCUUA